rnacentral:lncRNA from 1 species
GAUUCUUACACUAGGUUGGUGUCUAAAACAUUGCCUUUUUCACUGUGUUUCUUGAUAGUUUUCGAUUCUUGAACCUCUUGAAUUUUCCUGAUAAGAUUGCAAUGUAUGUCAAAAUAACGUGAAAAUACGUGAAAAACGAUGAAAAUGGACAAAAAAUCUCAAUGGGGUCAGGUUGGGGUUCCGGCACGGCGGCGACACGUGCUCCACCGCUGGGUCCUCCUCCUCAAGCAGCUCUUCCUCUUGGUCAUACCAGUUUCGACCGAUUCUUGGUGAAAAUUUAUUUAAAUCAUGGUUAUGGGGUGUUUCUCGGCAAAAAGAGGAGAAAAACAGGUGCUUAUCGGUGAUUUUGGUUUUUUGGUACGGCGACUCAGCCGAGCUCCGCCAUUCCUCCCUUGUGGUUUGCGGCUUGUUUUGGUCACCCUCCAUUGGAAACGUGUUAGGUGGCUAAAGGGUGGAGAAAUGGGAAGAAUGGGAAGAAAAUACGGUUUAUCGAAGCAUUUUUCAGUCUUUGGUGUGGCGGUGCAACUGUGCUCCGCCACCUCUUUCUCGUGGGUCACGGUCCUCCUUGGUUUUUUCCUGCAUUAGGUUUAGUUUAAACCACCUAGGGUGAGAAGAUAGAAAG